GGGUCAGUAGGUUGGUCGUGCCACCGGUACGUACUGGUCUCGCUGAUUCCUCCUUCCUGAAGAACCGUAAUGCCAUUAAUUUGGUGUUGCGGGGAAACAGGACUGUUACUUUGAAAAAAUUAGAGUGUUUAAAGCAGGCUAACGCUUGAAUACAUUAGCAUGGAAUAAUGAAAUAGGACGAUCGAUCCUAUUUUGUUGGUUUCUAGGAUUGACGUA
rnacentral:rRNA from 1 species